GAUGAACGCUAGCGGGAGGCUUAACACAUGCAAGUCGAGGGGCAGCGCAACGUAGCAAUAUGUGGGCGGCGACCGGCGCACGGGUGAGUAACGCGUAUGCAACCUACCCUGUACAGGGGGAUAACCCGGAGAAAUCCGGACUAAUACCCCAUAGAUACGAUAUCGGGCAUCCGAUUUCGUUUAAAGCGGCGACGCGGUACGGGACGGGCAUGCGUAACAUUAGCUAGUUGGCGGGGCAAUGGCCCACCAAGGCGACGAUGUUUAGGGGACCUGAGAGGGUGAUCCCCCACACUGGUACUGAGACACGGACCAGACUCCUACGGGUGGCAG
rnacentral:rRNA from 1 species